GAUGAACGCUGGCGGCGUGCCCAACACAUGCAAGUCGAGCGAUCUUCUUCGGAAGAGAGCGGCGGACGGGUGAGUAACGCGUGGGUAACCUGCCCUGUACACACGGAUAACAUACCGAAAGGUAUGCUAAUACGAGAUAAUAUGCUUUUGUCGCAUGGUAGAAGUAUCAAAGCUCCGGCGGUACAGGGAUGGACCCGCGUCUGAUUAGCUAGUUGGUAAGGUAACGGCUUACCAAGGCGACGAUCAGUAGCCGACCUGAGAGGGUGAUCGGCCACAUUGGGAACUGAGACACGGUCCAAACUCCUACGGGAGGCAGCAGUGGGGAAUAUUGCACAAUGGGCGAAAGCCUGAUGCAGCAACGCCGCGUGAGCGAUGAAGGCCUUCGGGUCGUAAAGCUCUGUCCUCAAGGAAGAUAAUGACGGUACUUGAGGAGGAAGCCCCGGCUAACUACGUGCCAGCAGCCGCGGUAAU
rnacentral:rRNA from 1 species